GAAACUAACAAGGAUUCCCCUAGUAACUGCGAGUGAAGCGGGAAAAGCUCAAAUUUAAAAUCUGGCAGUUUCACUGUCCGAGUUGUAAUCUGGAGAAGCAUUUUCCGCGUCAGACCGUGUACAAGUCUCUUGGAACAGAGCGUCAUAGAGGGUGAGAAUCCCGUCCAUGACACGGACUACUGAUGCUUUGUGAUAUGCUCUCGAAGAGUCGAGUUGUUUGGGAAUGCAGCUCAAAAUCGGGUGGUAAAUUCCAUCUAAAGCUAAAUAUUGGCGAGAGACCGAUAGCGAACAAGUACCGUGAGGGAAAGAUGAAAAGCACUUUGGAAAGAGAGUUAAACAGUACGUGAAAUUGUUGAAAGGGAAACGCUUGAAGUCAGUCGCGUUGUCUGAGACUCAGCCUUGCUUGCAUGGUGUACUUCUCAGUUAACGGGUCAACAUCAAUUUCAGUUGGUGGAUAAAGGCAUUGGGAAUGUGGCACCUUCGGGUGUGUUAUAGCCCUUUGUUGCAUACACUGACCGGGAUUGAGGAACGCAGCACGCCACUAAGGCCAGGGGUUCGCCCCAUGUAACGUGCUUAGGAUGUUGGCAUAAUGGCUUUAAGCG
rnacentral:rRNA from 1 species